rnacentral:rRNA from 1 species
AAUAAACGCUGGCGGCGUGCUUAACACAUGCAAGUCGAACGAGAAAACCUUUCGGGGUUAGUACAGUGGCGAACGAGUGAGUAACGCGUAAGAAUCUGCCUUUUAGUGAAGAAUACCCUUGAGAAAUUGAGGUUAAUGCUGCAUACGUCCUACGGGAGAAAGAUGGCCUCUUUGCUGUCGCUAAAAGAUGAGCUUGCGUACUAUUAGUUAGUUGGUGAGGUAAUGGCUCACCAAGACGAUGAUGGUUAGCCGGCCUGAGAGGGUGUACGGCCACGCUGGAACUUAGACACGGUCCAGACUCCUACGGGAGGCAGCAGUGGGGAAUAUUGCGCAAUGGGCGAAAGCCUGACGCAGCGACGCCGCGUGGAGGAUGAAGGCCUUUGGGUCGUAAACUCCUGUUAAGUGGGAAGAAAAACUCUUUUUUAAUAGAAAAGAGCAAUGACGGUACCAUUAAAGAAAGCACCGGCUAAUCUCGUGCCAGCAGCCGCCGUAACAC